rnacentral:rRNA from 1 species
GUCUUUUUGAUUAUAAUUUAAAGUCUAACCUGCCCAAUGAGGAAUUUAAUGGCUGCAGUAUUUUAACUGUACAAAGGUAGCAUAAUAAUUAGUUUUUUAAUUAAAAACUAGUAUGAAUGGUUGGACAAGAUAAAAACUGUCUCUAUUUUAAUUUAAUUAGAAAUUUAUUUUUAAGUAAAAAAGCUUAAAUAUUUUUAAAAGACGAGAAGACCCUAUAGAGUUUUAUAAGAAUUUAUAUUUAAAUAUUUUAGAAUAAUUAUUUUAUAAUAUUUUUUUUUAUUUUAUUGGGGUGAUAUAAAAAUUUAAAAAACUUUUUAUUAAUUUAACAUAGAUUUAUGAUAAAAUGAUCCAUUAUUUAUGAUUAAAAGAUUAAAUUACCUUAGGGAUAACAGCGUAAUUUUUUUUGAGAGUUCUAAUCGAAAAAAAAGAUUGCGACCUCGAUGUUGGAUUAAAGUUAAUUUUUGGUGUAGAAGCUAUAAAAUUAGGUCUGUUCGACCUUUAAAACUUUACAUGAUCUGAGUUUAAACCGGUGUGAGCCAGGUUGGUUUCUAUCUUUAAAAAAUUUAAAUAUUUUAGUACGAAAGGACCAAAUAUUUGUAAUAAUUAUUGUAAAGUGAGUUA